ensembl:lncRNA
GGCUCAGUGACUCACUACUGUAAUGGUCCAGGUUACAAAGUGGCUCAGUGACUCACUACUGUAAUGGUCCAGGUUACAAAGUGGCUCAGUGACUCACUACUGUAAUGGUCCAGGUUACAAAGUGGCUUAGUGACUCACUACUGUAAUGGUCCAGGUUACAAAGUGACUCAGUGACUCACUACUGUAAUGGUCCAGGUUACAAAGUGGCUCAGUGACUCGUGUUUGCAUCUCAAUGUGAAAAAACUGUUUGCAUGUUCUUCACAAAGAGGGCAACAGAUGCUACUGAGCCAGAUGUCUGUGUGUCAGGGGAGAAGCUCCAGGUGGUAUCUGAUGCUACUGA